rnacentral:tRNA from 1 species
GCGGCAGUAGCUCAGGGAUAGAGCUCGCGCAUCGCAUGCGGGGACACCUGGGUUCGAUUCCCGGCUGCUUUC